rnacentral:misc_RNA from 1 species
GGGAAAAUGCAGCGCUGAAGGAACUCCAUGUUAAUUUUCAAAGUAUCAGGGCAGGAACUCAACCAUUUGUCUUUUUCACGAGACAGGCGUCUACGAACCGAUGCAACAUUUUCUUCAUGCCUAUGAAGUUCACUAGUCAGACGAUCUAGAGCUUCUUGAAUCCUUUCCUUGUCUUUCUUCCUUUUAGUUAUUGCGGAACUCGAAUUAUCAGAAAUCUCUUCCAAAGCUUUAAGAGCCGCAUGCUGCUUUGCAAUUUCAGA